rnacentral:rRNA from 1 species
CUCUUUUCAUAGAAGGAACAUUCGGUAGGGCGUAGGCCCGUCACAGUUCAGUUGGUGAGGUGAGAGCGCGCGAGGGGAGAGCGCCGAAGCCAAGAAGGCGGGCGGCGGCUAACGACGGCUCUACUCCAGCGUCGAACUGCGGCGGCGGUGGCGCAGAAGCGGCGGCCGCAGGCGAGAGGCGGGGACCGGCGGAGCCCGGGAAGAAUCCCAAACGCACAAGGGGCCCGCCAAGGCGCAGUCUGCGCCACUGCCCUAGUCCCAACAGACGAGCCGAUCGGUAGAAGGGUCGCCGUAGUUUGUUCCUCCUCGUUCUCACAAGUCUAGUCGUUUCUCCUGUACACUUUUCCUCUGGCUCGGAUUACACUUGUGCAGUUGGUGCAGCCCCCGUCUUUUAGUGGAUAUAAAAGGACAAUUCCCUUUGUUGUACCACUUAUAUCAUUCGUAGUGUAAGACGGAAGAUGUGUCUCAACAAUAUCCGGUCUACGUCAAAUACUACUUUAGUAAGGGGUCCUAUAGUGUUUUAUAAUGUUCAAACGGUAAACGAACGUAUAGACUAGGAUAAUCUUGUGGACACGGAGAAUUCGAUCUACACUGAGAAGGUGGUGGCGGACUACAGUCUACCUCAUAAAGUGCGAACAUGAUAGAUAAGUUAUGUGUCGAACUGGCUUUGUAACGGAACAGAUAAUAGUGAAACGAGCAGUGCACGAAAAGAUAACACAAGCAACCUCCUAACGAUAAAGUAUUCAAGUCCUUCUUUCUUGUCGGAGACCUCCUGACGAAUACCCUUCGAACCCGUACAGAUACAAGUAGUAGAUGAGUAGACUUUGUUUCCUGUGCAUAACUCGCAGAAUAACCCAAGAAAGAACGAUAGACCCCAUAUAACAAGAUAAGAGCAAACAAUUCGCGCUACUGUCUUGUUAAAUCUUGGGUUUACGUAUUCCAUUCUCUUCCUCGGGUCAACGUCCAGGAACUCCUCCUAGUAUAGCAAUAGACACCUCAGUUAUCAGUAGACUGCAGGUAUAACUUAGUCAACUUAUUCAAAGUCCUUAGUCGUUAAGCGGAUCCAUGACGAUGUCGUUCCUUCGUCUCUUAAGAGGAAGAGAGCCUUGAAGGGUCUUUCGUAUAACUCUUCGAACCUCUAUGGUAUAGAUUUCUAAAUUUAGUACAACUACAUAAGUGGUUCUCAACAUCGGAAUCGAACUGUUUUAGUAAGCUCUCUCGUCGUCGUUUGUUUCGUUUCAGAUAUUAGUAGAAUGGUAGUUUUUUACUUGCUAUACUUCACCUAUGUCUACGUAAAGAAAGAGACAACCGAGAGGUCAGAGAAGGUGCUUAACGUAACCAAGGAUGGUAACAACUCCGAAGAUUGAGCUGGUGAUAGCUUGAAGACUUUAGUUAGUGUCCGAAUUUACACGUUGGCCACCUCUACCAACGGAGAUUCAACAAACACGUCACGAGAUCCGUUUUCCCGGAAGAAUUUUAGAUGUCUGUGAACGAAUUAAGAGCGUUCUUACAAAAGUUGUAAAAGUCGUAAGGACUUCAUCCUCCGUACUUCAAAUUCCUGCACUCUGCAUUUCAGGUUCUACAUUACAACAAAGUUUAUUCACUUACGGAUUUGAGUCGUCAGACGUAGUGAAGAAACAACACUAAGGGGAAAUACGAGUAGUAGUCCGUCAGCAAACACCAUAAAAAGCCAGACCACCCUAAGUGAAGGUGGGUCCACUACUACUUCAUAACUUUCUUUGUCUAUUUAACGAAGAAUAAAGAGGACAGACGCCCUCCUCUUUUAGUGUCAUAAGUCAAAAUUUAUAUAGACUUGCUUGUCUAUCAAGUCAAUCAAUGAGUCUUGGUUUUCUCCCAGUUUCUAGAAGAUCACACCAAUGACUCGACUUCCUUUGCGCCGAUUUCUUGUAACAUCUCGCCGGCAGUUUUAGUAAGAGAUUCUCGUCGCUUACAUGUGACCCUGGUUCCCUUACGUAUGAAUAACAACCAACCUCCGGUUUUCAAUGACUAUACUAAGCUCUUAUACUAUUAAUGGAACCUGGACCAUCACAUAACCUUUAUAACAGUCUUUGGGGAUAAUGUCUCGCCUGCUCACAACAGUUGGGGGAAUACGUCUCGGUUGAAUUUUUAUAAUUUCAAUGAGUAUUCCACCCUACAGGAUACUUGAUACUAUGAAAUUUCCUUCGCUAAUAAUUGUAAUCCUUUAGACGGUUCACACUGUUUUUACAAGGAGAAAGUCAGCACCACUAUAGGCUAUCUCUGACCGAGUAACCUCUAUGACAUGUCCGACUAUUCGUUAACCGUAUAUGGGAAGAGGAACGACUUUUAUAAACGGUGUUUUUACUGUAAUUCCAAGUUGUAGAACAUAGUCUUUAACAUCUGUGCCCCGACCCUUUCGUUUAUUGAUCUUAUUCUGGGAGGGAAAGUAAAUAACCUCGUCUCCUUCAAUACUCAGAACACUGCCGUGUUCAACGCCUUACAUCACUCGACUUACUUCAUACCUUCCUAUAAGACCUACGACUCCCUCUACUCUAAAUAUAAUUCCUUCAUCCUGACAUGUACUUCCUUCCUCUCUUUUAUAGUAAGUGACUCGACAGACUUUCCCGUCAAAACGCAGCACUUCAACGGUAACCAAUAAAAUUCCUGGUCUUCGUCGUAUAUUUAGGAUGCUUGUUCAACGUCGGUGAAAGAGAACUUUACUGCCUAAGUGAGUAGCACUAUAGUCUCAAACUUCCACUUGUUGGUUAACACUCCCCGUCGUUUUGAAGCCGUACUGUAAAAAUCGAACGGUAAGAAGACUUAAAAACUGUCAAGAACGAUGGGUUCCUCUACUACUUUAUAUCGGACAGUGAAUAGACAAGUUUCUCUAUUUUUUUACGGUAAACUAGUUUAUAUUGAACAGAGACAUCGAUAUCUUUAAACACCAGUGAGUAUAAUAACAUUUACUGUCAUCAAUAUAAUCUAAUGGGUUACCGUACAAACCAUCCAACGUACACCCGGUACGUACGACACCCCUCCGGUUAAACCGGACAAACCU